rnacentral:piRNA from 1 species
UGCCUCAUUGAAGUUUCCAUGGACUCU